UGACGUAGCUGCAGCAGCCAGGCAGAAGCUGCCUAACGGAGCUGCUGGACUGUGACGGUGAUGCGUGUGUAUCAUACCUGGUGCUGAGUGUGUCCCACUGUUUUAUAGGUAUGUAAUGGAUACACAGAUUUAUUUUGUGGUUUGAUGUUGAUUUGUACAAGAUUUUACUUUUCUUUAGUCCAUUUGUUGUUAAUAUAUUAAAAAAAAGAAGGCAGAAGCUGCCUAACGGAGCUGCUGGACUAUGACAGUGAUGCGUGUGUAUCAUACCUGGUGCUGAGUGUGUCCCACUGUUUUAUAGGAAUAAAAAAACCAAC